ACGAAAACAAUAACAACAACAAUAAUAACAUGUGCAGUGGCUGCAAACAGCAGCCUCCUGGGUAGUGUAUGCGGCCUGUUGCUUUAUGUAUAAGGGACCCUGGAGACAGCC
rnacentral:snoRNA from 1 species